UUUCUGUCAGUGGGGACUUGUCGACAGCUCUGGAGAGUGUCGAGACAAGCCCGAGUCGCGUUGGCGUCAAAUAGACGCGAAACGGACUCCGUGCGACGUGAGGUCAUCUUUCUGUGUGAAAAUCUGCGAAAUUGCAGAAUUUUUACUCUGCUGUACCGGUACAAGGGUUGGUCUGUACCGGUACAACCACCGUGGGAAGUCGCUUGCUGUACCGGUACAAGGGUCCGUCUGUACCGGUACAGGAUGCGCGACAGGAGGUUGGUGCCCACGGGUUUGGCCUUGUACCGGUACAGCAAGCCGUGUACCGGUACAAGGGAGUUGGUGGAGGGAUAAAACAGUAAUU
rnacentral:lncRNA from 1 species